UACGUAGGGGGCAAGCGUUGUCCGGAUUUAUUGGGCGUAAAGAGCGUGUAGGCGGCUUUACAGGUCCGUUGUGAAAACUCGAGGCUCAACCUCGAGACGCCGAUGGAUACCGUAUGGCUAGAGUCCGGAAGAGGAGAGCGGAAUUCCUGGUGUAGCGGUGAAAUGCGCAGAUAUCAGGAGGAACACCGAUGGCGAAGGCAGGUCUCUGGGCAGUAACUGACGCUGAGGAGCGAAAGCAUGGGGAGCGAACAGG
rnacentral:rRNA from 1 species